UUUCCUUUAUAAUUUAAACUGUUGAUUAUAUUUUCUGUUCAAAGUGUUAAAGAUAAUGUCUUUAUAUGCUUUGCUUUGUCUGCUUAAUUGUCUAAAGCAAUCAGCUACAUAUGUUGGAACCAUGUGAUAUUUGGACUUUUUGCAUGACAAAUCUCAAAAAUUAAUGUUGAUUCAUUUUGUGAUGUGUUCUGUGAUCCAUAGGAAUAUUUAAUUAUGGCUUCAAUCAGCCUUAAAACUGACUACAGAUUACAGACCUUAAACACAGUAAUAAUAUAAAGAAAAUAAAGUGAUUAUAGAAAUGAUGCGAAUGAAUUAUUUUGACAAUUUGUUUAAGAUGUCAUCAAAUAAAUUCCAUUAUGAUGUCUAC